CCUACGGGAGGCAGCAGUGAGGAAUAUUGGUCAAUGGACGAGAGUCUGAACCAGCCAAGCAGCGUGAAGGAUGACUGCCCUAUGGGUUGUAAACUUCUUUUAUAUGGGAAUAAAAUGUUCCAUGUGUGGGAUUUUGUAUGUCCCAUAUGAAUAAGGAUCGGCUAACUCCGUGCCAGCAGCCGCGGUAAUACGGAGGAUCCGAGCGUUAUCCGGAUUUAUUGGGUUUAAAGGGAGCGUAGGUGGAUUGUUAAGUCAGUUGUGAAAGUUUGCGGCUCAACCGUAAAAUUGCAGUUGAAACUGGCAGUCUUGAGUACAGUAGAGGUGGGCGGAAUUCGUGGUGUAGCGGUGAAAUGCUUAGAUAUCACGAAGAACUCCGAUUGCGAAGGCAGUUCACUGGACUGCAACUGACACUGAGGCUCGAAAGUGUGGGUAUCAAACAGGAUUAGAUACCCCAGUAGUC
rnacentral:rRNA from 1 species